rnacentral:rRNA from 1 species
UACGGAGGGGGCUAGCGUUGUUCGGAAUUAUUGGGCGUAAAGAGCUCGUAGGCGGUCUGUCGCGUCGGCUGUGAAAACCCGGGGCUCAACUCCGGGCCUGCAGUCGAUACGGGCAGACUAGAGUGCGGUAGGGGAGACUGGAAUUCCUGGUGUAGCGGUGAAAUGCGCAGAUAUCAGGAGGAACACCGGUGGCGAAGGCGGGUCUCUGGGCCGUAACUGACGCUGAGGAGCGAAAGCGUGGGGAGCGAACAGG